rnacentral:rRNA from 1 species
UACAGAGGGGCAAGCGUUGUUCGGAAUUACUGGGCGUAAAGGGCGCGUAGGCGGCCUGCUAAGUCGAACGUGAAAUCCCCGAGCUCAACUCGGGAACUGCGUCCGAUACUGGCAGGCUUGAAUCCGGGAGAGGGAUGCGGAAGUUCCAGGUGUAGCGGUGAAAUGCGUAGAUAUCUGGAGGAACACCGGUGGCGAAGGCGGCAUCCUGGACCGGCAUUGACGCUGAGGCGCGAAAGCCAGGGGAGCAAAGCGGG